rnacentral:tRNA from 1 species
GCCGAAAUACCUCAGUAGGGAGAGCGUUAAACUGAAGAUCUAAAGGUCCCUGGUUCGAUCCCGGGUUUCGGCA